rnacentral:rRNA from 1 species
AGACCCGAAACCCGGUGAUCUAGCCAUGGGCAGGUUGAAGGUUGGGUAACACUAACUGGAGGACCGAACCGACUAAUGUUGAAAAAUUAGCGGAUGACCUGUGGCUGGGGGUGAAAGGCCAAUCAAACCGGGAGAUAGCUGGUUCUCCCCGAAAGCUAUUUAGGUAGCGCCUCGUGAAUUCAUCUCCGGGGGUAGAGCACUGUUUCGGCUAGGGGGCCAUCCCGGCUUACCAACCCGAUGCAAACUGCGAAUACCGGAGAAUGUUAUCACGGGAGACACACGGCGGGUGCUAACGUCCGUCGUGAAGAGGGAAACAACCCAGACCGCCAGCUAAGGUCCCAAAGUCAUGGUUAAGUGGGAAACGAUGUGGGAAGGCCCAGACAGCCAGGAUGUUGGCUUAGAAGCAGCCAUCAUUUAAAGAAAGCGUAAUAGCUCACUGGUCGAGUCGGCCUGCGCGGAAGAUGUAACGGGGCUAAACCAUGCACCGAAGCUGCGGCAGCGACACUAUGUGUUGUUGGGUAGGGGAGCGUUCUGUAAGCCUGUGAAGGUGUGCUGUGAGGCAUGCUGGAGGUAUCAGAAGUGCGAAUGCUGA